rnacentral:rRNA from 1 species
CCUACGGGAGGCAGCAGUGGGGAAUUUUGGACAAUGGGCGCAAGCCUGAUCCAGCCAUGCCGCGUGCGGGAAGAAGGCCUUCGGGUUGUAAACCGCUUUUGUCAGGGAAGAAAAGGUUCUGGCUAAUACCUGGGACUCAUGACGGUACCUGAAGAAUAAGCACCGGCUAACUACGUGCCAGCAGCCGCGGUAAUACGUAGGGUGCAAGCGUUAAUCGGAAUUACUGGGCGUAAAGCGUGCGCAGGCGGUUAUGCAAGACAGAGGUGAAAUCCCCGGGCUCAACCUGGGAACUGCCUUUGUGACUGCAUAGCUAGAGUACGGUAGAGGGGGAUGGAAUUCCGCGUGUAGCAGUGAAAUGCGUAGAUAUGCGGAGGAACACCGAUGGCGAAGGCAAUCCCCUGGACCUGUACUGACGCUCAUGCACGAAAGCGUGGGGAGCAAACAGGAUUAGAUACCCUGGUAGUCCACGCCCUAAACGAUGUCAACUGGUUGUUGGGAGGGUUUCUUCUCAGUAACGUAGCUAACGCGUGAAGUUGACCGCCUGGGGAGUACGGCCGCAAGGUUGAAACUCAAAUGAAUUGACGGCUGAGAGNGCGAGACGACGACGAGGGAGGAGG